UACGGAGGAUGCGAGCGUUAUCCGGAUUUAUUGGGUUUAAAGGGUGCGUAGGCAGACUGUCAAGUCAGCGGUAAAAUUGAGAGGCUCAACCUCUUCCCGCCGUUGAAACUGGUGGUCUUGAGUGGAUGAGAAGUACGCGGAAUGCGUGGUGUAGCGGUGAAAUGCAUAGAUAUCACGCAGAACUCCGAUUGCGAAGGCAGCGUACCGGCAUCCAACUGACGCUGAGGCACGAAAGCGUGGGGAGCAAACAGG
rnacentral:rRNA from 1 species